ACAAAUAUUGCAAACAUUGGUGCCAGUCAGAGCUCUCAACCUCUUGAGACGAUAGCAGCACUUUUGCACAAUGAUAUUCUCUUCUUUCCUUUUUCACAUUUAUUUAUGCACCAUUUUCUUCUUCCAGUUCUAACUAACUUCACUCAUUUUCUUAAUUUUUGUUUUCGAACCAGAAUUGUUUUUGUUGACGGAACCACCUUGCCGGACUUCUCCUUCCGCCGUGUUCUUCUUCUUUUCUAAUGGGUCUCGUGUCAGUUUGUGCAUCUAACUGCCCACAAUUGAAUGUCGCAAUGGAGGUUUGGCACUUAUGAUCAUUCUGGUCAUCAUGUCAUCGAAGAAUUAUAUGCAACGAGUUAAGAUUGUAGAAGGAGAGGGAGUCAGUACCUCUUUUUCCAGGCCUGUUCGGACAUACGGUUCCCGCCGAAGAUCAAGUUAGUGAGCCGUGUGAUGGUAAACCUUCCCGCACGGUUCAGAGAGCACUGAAUUAGAAUAAGAGGUUCACCAUCACAUCAUUGCAUGCAAGGGGAGCUCGGUCGAUUUGAAAAUAGGAACUUGCUUUCAUGAAUUUUAUCUGGAAACCUUAUCAAGAACGUGAUAUACAUCUUCAAAGCAAGGAUUGCCAAGUAAGCUUCAUGUUGUAUUCAGGGGUUUUAUUAUUAUAAUAAUAGUUAGAAUAUAGUUG